CACACACACACACACACACACACACACACACACACACAUUGACUUUCUGUGCCGGAAGACUCCCUUGAAUGACUCUGGAGCCCUGGGAAGUCCUGCAGGAAUCUAGAGAAAGCUGGUGUCUGAGCUGCCAAGAAGAUAAUUCUAGAGUGCGUCAAACAACCUACAGAGCAUGCCUCAGGCUGAGGUGUAGCUCAGCGGUGGAGCGCGUGCCUAGUGUGUCUGCCAAGGCCUCGGCUUCUGCACCCAGUACCUCAAAACCAACCAGGUAACAUCAGCCACAAAAACGUCGCCUUCCUACCCCAAGUGCAUGUUCCCUACAGAGAGUGAUCUAUGCAGUCAGACUUCCUGUCUUGAAAGAAAGAGUUUAUCAGGUGUGCAGCAAACAAAAGUAAAAGAAGUUAGCAAGCAGAGAGGGAACUUCAUCAGACUGGGCACUUCCAACAUCCGCAGUGGGCAGGAAGCGCCCUGGAGAAAGAAACACGCUGAAGUUUCCGACUAAGAGAUUUCCAGGCAAAGCAAGACAUUCUGUCCAUUUCGGAUGUCUCUGGCCUCCUGUUCCCACUGCAGGCAUUUUUUAUACCAUGGGUAGAAAACAACAGCCUCGUUGGAAGCGGGUUAGCCAUUCUUCAGGGCACACCAUUUUUAAUACCCUUAGUCACUUGCUAUACUCUGCUCCGUUUCAGACCCAGGGGGCCAGCCUGCCCUAAGACAGGGAGCCUUGAAGGGCACUUGAAAUCAACAUGGAGUUUGAGGUGGAGUGGGGAAGACUCCCAGAGUCUGCUCUCAACAAAUGCAAACAGUGUGUGACAGUUUCCCCAUAUGAUUUCUCUUCAGCCCGCCCGCACUUGCUCUGGGCCUAUAGGUUGACCUGAGGGGAAAGGCCAUCUGUUUGGAUCAUUGGAUCCAGCAUCUUGGUUUACAGGUGGGCAAGCUGAGAACCAGAGAGGGGUUCAUGCCCUGCCUCAUAUCUCCUUACCCAUCCACUUCCCUAAAAUUCCUGCCAGCUUUUGUGUCAACCAGGAAGUAAAGGGCCUAUUGCGAUGGCGGGUUGGGAAUGCCCACAGUCUUUACCCUUAUUCCCCUUUGGGCCCCACAGUGCCUCCUGGGUUCCCAUUGUGAUGUGUUCUGCUGAGCCCUGUUCCAGUUAUUUUGAACAGCUCUCUGCUUUGUCUCCAACAACCACCUCUCCUUGACCCCAAGUCUCCUAGGACCCAACUUCUUCUGCUUCCAGGUCAGCCCUUUUCCCCACCCCAAAGCCAAAGAUUCUUGAAGGAUGAUCCUGGCUCUGAGCUCCAGAUUCCAGGGAAGGCUGGGAUUUUCCAGUGUUUAACUGAUGCGUAGCCCUUUAUGGAAACAACAUGGUCCAAAGGCCAGGGUCCCUUCCCUGUCCCAAUUCUAAGCUCUGUCCCCAUCUGCCUCCAAACCUUGUCCCAAGGCCCCAGCCUCUCUUCCCAUUUUCCUCUCUCCAUACCAGCUGCCCCUGAGGACUCCCUGAAUUCUCCAGAUGUCCACAGGCCCUGCACUCCCCCAGAGACUCUGUACUCACUCACUGUGCCCCUCCUCACUUGCAACCUCACAUUGGGAAAGGGGUUCAGCCUCAAGGUCUAAGCCAAGUCUUCAAAUAAGAGACACCCCUAAUCCUCCAGCAUUUUGAACAAGCCUCUGACUCCUCCUGUGUAGAAGGAAGACUGACUAUUCAGCCCUCAACUGCCUUGCGGCUUUGAUGGUCUAUGAUGGCUGUGCUCUGACUCCACCUGCUAAAAAUCUACCACCUCAGAA
rnacentral:sRNA from 1 species